rnacentral:rRNA from 1 species
UACAGAGGUCUCAAGCGUUGUUCGGAUUCAUUGGGCGUAAAGGGUGCGUAGGUGGCGGGGCAAGUCUGGUGUGAAAAUCCCCGGGGCUCAACCCUGGAACUGCACUGGAUACUGCUUUGCUAGAGUACUGGAGAGGGAACUGGAAUUUACGGUGUAGCAGUGAAAUGCGUAGAUAUGCGGAGGAACACCGAUGGCGAAGGCAAUCCCCUGGGCCUGCACUGACGCUCAUGCACGAAAGCGUGGGGAGCAAACAGG